ensembl:lncRNA
AACUGGCUGGGAGGAUACAGGGCAGGGCACCAGGCUCUCUUGCCUAGCAGGGGGAUUUUAGAGCCUUGCCACAAAAAUGUAGCUCAUAGACCACCAGCAGCAGCCACAUCUGGAUGCUUGUUAGGAAAGAGGAGACUCAGGCCCUACCUACACCUGCCAAUUCAGAAUCUGAACCAGCCCCCAGGACACUGAUCUUGAGGACAUCGUGGGACUGGGAGAGGAAGGGGGAGAUGUUGAGUAAACUGGCAAAGGUGGAAGAAAAAGGGAAGAAGGAUCACAGAGGGCUGCCCGAGUCCAGAGCUCAGAGGUCUGAAAAGAAGCAAAAGGACUGUAAACAAACCAGGUCAUUGAAUCACAAGCCCAGAGCCUGCUGACUGUUACUGCAAGCGGACGGUCCGCCCUCAGGACUGCAGGGGUGAAUUAUGGCCACCAAGUGCUCAGAGGCCUGGCUAUAAAUCCUCCCCUGCAUCCUUGUUAACCGUGUCCUUCCCUGGAGGCAGAAAAGAUGGAAAACAGCUGGCAGGCUUCUUCCACAUGUCCUUAAAGAGCACAA